rnacentral:tRNA from 1 species
GGUGCAAUGGGUAAGUGCUUUCGGCUGUUAACCAAAACGUUGGUGGUUCAAACCCACCUAGCACCU